UACGAAGGGGGCUAGCGUUGUUCGGAAUUACUGGGCGUAAAGCGUGCGCAGGCGGUUUUGUAAGUCAGAUGUGAAAUCCCCGGGCUCAACCUGGGAACUGCGUUUGAAACUACAAGGCUAGAGUGUGGCAGAGGGGGGUGGAAUUCCGCGUGUAGCAGUGAAAUGCGUAGAGAUGCGGAGGAACACCGAUGGCGAAGGCAGCCCCCUGGGCUAACACUGACGCUCAGGCACGAAAGCGUGGGGAGCAAACAGG
rnacentral:rRNA from 1 species